UAAAGCCAUUUUUGUACAGGAUUUGCUUGAUAGGCCUUGUAGGCAGCAAGUUCAAAGUAGGACAACUCAGUUUCAUUUUCAAUUCCACAAAGAGACAAUGUUUUGGCUCCAUCAUUAAGAAUCCAAUCAUCGUGGUCUAAAUUAAUAGCCAAGUUUUGGGUUUUGUGCUGCUGGGCUUUCACAUAAAUCUUCAACGUGUCAAAAUGGGUAGUACGGUAGAUUUUCAAUGAGGGAUCCGUUUGUAUGCGUUCAUCGAUGAUUUUUUUGAACUGGUCUACAGUCGUAGUGGCCAGAUCUAUGUCGUGGAAAACGACGUUUUUCAGUGUCCGAUAUUCAAAGUUGCGAAUUACUCGAACAGUUAACGUUGCGCCCGUCAUCCUUUUGAAAGAUUUAAAUAAAACCAAAGAGUAAAAAAGUACCAAAUGAUCAAUAGUUAAAUGACUGUAAUUCGAUUCUUAUAUAAGGGUUCGAAAUCCUUGCGAAAUUCCCAAAAACUUUCAAAAUUAUUUGUAUUCCAAAAAAAUGUCACAAUAGCUUUUUGUUUCUCCAGAGCCUCACCUUUAUGCUUAUAUUUUUCGUAUAUACAAUUGCAAUUUGAUUAACACUCGAGUCAAUGGUAACUUGUGUAGUAUAGAGAAAGAACGAAGCAUUAUAAAUGAUUGAGAUGUGCACUAAGUGGUACACUAGCAAUAUAACAAAUUGAAUUGUGUAUCCUAACAGCUAAAAACCUUCAUACUAUUCUUCUAGAAAAUUUUAAUUUAAGAAUGAAUGUUCAUUGUAGAAGCCAAUUGAAUGUUGGCUGAAUUAUUGCAAAACAAAAAUAGUUUAAUAUUUGACGACUGUUUACGAAAAAAACGCAUAAGAAUUGUUUCUACAACUAAGAGGAACAAGUUGAUGAUGAUAUUUAAGGAUCGAAUUAUCGUAAAAUUAUUUAAUUCUAUACAGUGUGAAUAAUUGUAAAUGUUUUCAACCCAGACUAUAUAUUUUAUUAACUAAAGCGGUUUUAAAGCUAAAGAAUAUAACACAAUGAUUACUUCUACUUGAAGUGUUUACGUUUCAUAGUCCAUGCAUGCGUCUCUUUGAUUUAUAUUAGCAUAGAACUCUUGAAUUCACUUUUUUUUACGAUCAUUCAAUCGAAGCCCA